rnacentral:tRNA from 2 species
GCGGGAGUAACUCAGUGGCAGAGUGCUAGCUUCCCAAGCUGGACGUCGCGGGUUCGAAUCCCGUCUCCCGCU